ensembl:snoRNA
CUUCUCACUUAUUUGUUGCUACAGUCUCACAGUGAUAAGAGCAGUUAUACACAUGGGAUAAAACAGUAUUGGGCCAUUAUAAAUUAAGACAGAGUAAAUAACCAUUUUCAUCUCUUUUGCAUAGAUUAGACAUUG